UACGGAGGGUGCAAGCGUUAUCCGGAUUCACUGGGUUUAAAGGGUGCGUAGGAGGACUGGUAAGUCAGUGGUGAAAUCCCCGAGCUUAACUUGGGAACUGCCGUUGAUACUAUCAGUCUUGAAUACCGUGGAGAUGAGCGGAAUAUGUCAUGUAGCGGUGAAAUGCUUAGAUAUGACAUAGAACACCAAUUGCGAAGGCAGCUCGUUACACGAAUAUUGACUCUGAGGCACGAAAGCGUGGGGAUCAAACAGG
rnacentral:rRNA from 1 species